rnacentral:rRNA from 1 species
UGCGUAGGCGGUCCCGCAAGUCCGCUGUGAAAUCCCCGGGCUUAACCUGGGAAUGGCAGUGGAAACUAGGGGACUUGAAUCUGGCAGAGGGGGGUGGAAUGCCACGUGUAGCAGUGAAAUGCGUAGAGAUGUGGCGGAACACCGAUGGCGAAGGCAGCCCCCUGGGCUGAGAUUGACGCUCAGGCACGAAAGCGUGGGGAGCAAACAGGAUUAGAUACCCUGGUAGUCCACGCCCUAAACGAUGAUCACUAGGUGUUGGGGAAGCGAUUUCUCAGUACCGCAGCUAACGCGUGAAGUGACUCCGCCGUGGGAGUACGGUCGCAAGAUUAAAA